rnacentral:rRNA from 1 species
UACGAAGGGGGCGAGCGUUUUUCGGAUUUACUGGGCGUAAAGGGCGCGCUGGCGGCUUAUUUUGUCAGGCGUGAAAGCCCCGGGCUUAACCUGGGAACUGCGUUUGAUACGGAUGGGCUAGAGUUCGGGAGAGGAGAGUGGAAUUCCCAGUGUAGAGGUGAAAUUCGUAGAUAUUGGGAAGAACACCGGUGGCGAAGGCGGCUCUCUGGAUCGAUACUGACGCUGAGGCGCGAAAGCGUGGGGAGCAAACAGG